rnacentral:rRNA from 1 species
UACGUAAGGUCCGAGCGUUGUCCGGAAUCAUUGGGCGUAAAGGGUACGUAGGUGGUUAGAAAAGUUAGAAGUGAAAGGCUAUAGCUCAACUAUAGUAAGCUUUUAAAACUGUUUAACUUGAGAGAUGGAAGGGAAAGUGGAAUUCCAUGUGUAGCGGUGAAAUGCGUAGGGAUAUGGAGGAACACCAGUGGCGAAAGCGGCUCUUUGGCUCGCAACUGACGCUGAGGCGCGAAAGCGUGGGGAGCAAACAGG